rnacentral:snRNA from 1 species
AGAUGUGAGGGCGAACUGGCUGUGACAUCUUUCACCCCACCGAUUGCUAAGGCUGAUCUGACUGGGUUGGUGGGUGUCUCCUUCCUCCCCCACCAUUCCAUGCGCAUCCCUCCCAAAGCUGCUUACGUAGUGAAAGAGGAUAACUUUCCCUGAUAGAGAUGUCCCAUUCAUUGCUCAAGGGUAUAUGGUAGCUGCAUUCCCUUGCUAGAAUCUCCAAACAAGCUCAGGGUCCAUUUGUAGGAGAACAUAGGGUAGUCAAGCUUCUAGGACUGCAGGUACAUCCAAGUGAGGUACUGUAUGGGGCAGUCUGCCAUUGUUU